AACGAACGCUGGCGGCAUGCCUAACACAUGCAAGUCGAACGAGACCUUCGGGUCUUGUGGCGCACGGGUGCGUAACGCGUGGGAACCUGCACUUAGGUUCGGAAUAACUCCCCGAAAGGGGUGCUAAUACCGGAUAAUGUCUUCGGACCAAAGAUUUAUCGCCUUUGGAUGGGCCCGCGUUGGAUUAGCUAGUUGGUAGGGUAAAAGCCUACCAAGGCGACGAUCCAUAGCUGGUCUGAGAGGAUGAUCAGCCACACUGGGACUGAGACACGGCCCAGACUCCUACGGGAGGCAGCAGUGGGGAAUAUUGGACAAUGGGCGAAAGCCUGAUCCAGCAAUGCCGCGUGAGUGAUGAAGGCCUUAGGGUUGUAAAGCUCUUUUACCCGGGAUGAUAAUGACAGUACCGGGAGAAUAAGCUCCGGCUAACUCCGUG
rnacentral:rRNA from 1 species